UAAUCGACUCAAUGAUAUGUGAUCAUAUGGAUUUAAUAUUUGCCACAUUAGGAAUAUUAUGCAUGAAAAUUUCAACAAGCCACAUCUAAAGAAGCAGUUAUAUGAUAUCUUUUUAUUGUUAGUGCCCUUUAGAAGCCAAAUCCAACCCUUCACCCAUCCUUCAUAUCGAAUCUUCCCUUCCCCAUUCCUAGUUUCUUUUGAUUUCAUAAUGUUAUAUUUCUUAUGAAGAAAAAAAGAGUGUCAUUAUCUUCUGCUCUAUCAAUCUAGUAGGUCUCAACUUACCCAUGCAUUUUUUAUGAAAGUUACUAAUUUGGGUUUGCACAUAUUUUACAUGGGUUUUCAAAAUAUUAUCAAUACCUUGGUGAUUAGAAAAAUAAUUUUGAUCCAUGCAAAGUUGCCUUUCUUCAAUGCUCAUCUAAUAAAUGCAAUUAUAAAAAACAGUUCUCAUCUCUUAACUACUUUCUAGUCUAAUACGUCUUAUGCCUAAAACAUUAGAAGACCUAGUUAUUUCCAAAUAAGGCAUGUCUCAUCUAAGGAGUCUUAUUGCAAUAUUAUCCCAUUGAUUAUCAUUGACAAAAUAUGUUUAAUAAAGUAGGUUAGGUGCAACAAGAUAUUUGAUUUGUUGCGUUUACCUACUGCACUAUCUUGAGGCAUGACAGCUAUUUGUGCAAAUUGGAGAGGUCCAAUCUGUAAAUCAUUUCGACGUAUACCAAGUAUAAUGUCCCUUCCAUUGCCUCUUAUCAUGUCUCUUCCAUCUCAAUGGGACUAUGAAAAUAUUUUAAUCAUUCCAUUUUACAAUGAUUUCAUCUUUCGAAAAAGAGAAUCUUCCAAUUAUACUCCUUGAUAACUAUUAACAUCCUAUUACCUAGAAAAAGGAUGACACCAGCAAGAGCUUUCAUAAAUUUACUUUGAAUUCUAACAUGGUUUAUUCUUUUGCUUUUUAGUGUUGUAAGAACAUUAAAUAGGGGCCUCUUUUUUAUUCUAUGCAAUAUUUCCUAUUUAUAAAUCAAAAUAUAUUCCUUUUUGGUGUUUGUUAUCUUGUGGAAGAGUUCUUUAUGUUUUUUGUGGUUCAACAAAUCUUUCGUCAUUUUAAUAGCAAUCAUGUAGUGUUUUAAAACUUCACUAUUAUUUUUUGAAAAAACAUGGCUUCUAUGAAACAAACACCCUAACUGUAAUAUUUUUUUAACAGGACCCAUGUAGUGCUUUUAUGGUUUUUUUUGGAAAAAAGGCUCUAAUUAUAUUCUAUAUAGCAGAAGUUCUUAGUGUUUGGUUAGUGGAUGGAUUCAUGAGAAUGAGCCACAUAACACC
rnacentral:lncRNA from 1 species